rnacentral:rRNA from 1 species
GGGGAUAACUACUGGAAACGGUAGCUAAUACCGCAUAACGUCGCAAGACCAAAGAGGGGGACCUUCGGGCCUCUUGCCAUCGGAUGUGCCCAGAUGGGAUUAGCUUGUUGGUGGGGUAACGGCUCACCAAGGCGACGAUCCCUAGCUGGUCUGAGAGGAUGACCAGCCACACUGGAACUGAGACACGGUCCAGACUCCUACGGGAGGCAGCAGUGGGGAAUAUUGCACAAUGGGCGCAAGCCUGAUGCAGCCAUGCCGCGUGUACGAAGAAGGCCUUCGGGUUGUAAAGUACUUUCAGCGGGGAGGAAGGGAGUAAAGUUAAUACCUUUGCUCAUUGACGUUACCCGCAGAAGAAGCACCGGCUAACUCCGUGCCAGCAGCCGCGGUAAUACGGAGGGUGCAAGCGUUAAUCGGAAUUACUGGGCGUAAAGCGCACGCAGGCGGUUUGUUAAGUCAGAUGUGAAAUCCCCGGGCUCAACCUGGGAACUGCAUCUGAUACUGGCAAGCUUGAGUCUCGUAGAGGGGGGUAGAAUUCCAGGUGUAGCGGUGAAAUGCGUAGAGAUCUGGAGGAAUACCGGUGGCGAAGGCGGCCCCCUGGACGAAGACUGACGCUCAGGUGCGAAAGCGUGGGGAGCAAACAGGAUUAGAUACCCU